AAAAAAAACAUUUCUCCCCUUUCCCCAACAUCUCACUCUCUCGCCACUUCUCUGCCGGCGGUUUUGGCGUCGCCGGCGAACGACGCCGGCCGCCGGUCACGUCUCCCCUCUCCCCUCUUUCUCUAUCUAGGUCUCUCUCGGCCUCUCUCUCUCUUUCGGCCUCUCUCUCUCUGCCGGCGCGAACCACCACCUCUGCCGUCGCCGCCGGGCCGCUGCUGCCGUCGCUGGUGGGCCGCUGCCGCCGGGUACACGGCGGUCUCAUCGCCGUUGACCGAGAGAGAUUCGGAUAGAUCGUGAAAAAGGGAUUAAUUUCGUUGUGAAAAGUCGGACAACCGCCGAAAUGUUGCCGGACUGCCGCCGGAUUGCCGCCGCCGUCGGUGGGCCACUGCCGGGCAGUAUCCCCGGGGUCCGGCAGCUUCUUCACUCACAAGGUAUCGGGGUUCAAGACGUGGCUAUUGCGCAAGAUCCGGAGGGCAUGGAGAGUAUUUUAUUUUUAAAUAAAUCUUUACUUAAACGUUGAACUCGUGUACGGACUUUUUAUUUGAAACUCGGUCUUCACAAACGGACUUUUAUUAGAGCAAACUUUAUGUUGAAAUAUUACUAUUUUUGUUCA